rnacentral:lncRNA from 1 species
CUACACUCCCCAGCAUUCCUUGGCCUUAAACUCCAUCCAGCCAGGUCUCCCAGGGCAGGGCCAUGCUGUGGGCUCCAAGGGGGGUGCUUCCUAGUCCCAGGUCUUAGGGAAGACCUGGGGACCAAGUCUCAAGGGGCCCUGCCUUGUGGGCUAUGAGAUGGACAUGGAGUGGGCUUGUAGGGGCUGAAGCCCCUCCAUGCCAACUGGCUCAUAAAGACACUGGCCAAGGCCCCCUGGGCUACAGAGGCACAGCUCUUUGCUGUGGCUGCCUGUCUUGGGUCAAGAAAGCGCUGCAGACCUGGCCAGGGCAGGAGUGACUGGUUAAGGGCCUGGGGUCCUGUCCUUUGCCAUCAGGUCUAGCCAGGCCAGAGAGCUCUAAGGUUACUGUAUCCUCAGGCUUUGUGUCCUACCUGUGGUCCUCAGGAUGGACCAAUGGGCCAUGACCUUUCUCCUGUCCCUCAGCACAGCCCCCAGGCUCCACAUCUCCCCAGGGAGCCAGGAGUCAAGGAGUCCAGCCCAGACCACAUGGAAUUCACAAAGCCCCCUGUGCCUCCCAGCCCAGCCUGCAAGAUGCUAGGAAGGCUGGAAAAGGCACUGGGACAGGGGUGAGCACAGAGGCCACAAGAGAAAGCCAGGCAGAGGGAAGGAAAGGGGCAAGGAGAGAGGAACAGAGGCAGGAGGAGGUGGCAGCAGGUGGCAGGAUGGCGAUGGGAAGGUGCACACAGGCCUACUUCCAGCUACACACUGCACACGUGACUUCCUGCACACACAAGGGUGCACACACAGCUCUGAACA